AGCGAAGAAGGUCUUCGGAUUGUAAAGCUCUGUUGCCGGGGAAAAAGGAAGGAAAAGAGGAAAUGCUUUUCUUUGGAUGGUACCCGGCCACGAAAGUCACGGCUAACUACGUCGCC
rnacentral:rRNA from 1 species